GCUGCACGCUACUUGCCCGUCAGUGUUAGCUGGGAGGGUCUCAUCUUAAUUACCAUGCGGACUGCUUACUGUCUUAUUCUUCAUGCUCAUUAACUGCUUUUCGCCAAUCCCAGGGGACUGAGGAAGACCCGGAAACUCCAGGGUCACGUGAGCUGUGGCCAUGUGAGCAUAGGAACCCAGUAACCCGUGGCCGCUGGCAGCUACAGGUGGUGCCUGACAAGAGGCCUGAAAGCAGAAAGGACGACUGGGGGUACACUGUCUUGGUGGGGCUCCAUGGAAAACAGAAGAAGAUGUAUCUUGCAUGAAUGCUGCAGGAGCACACUAGCUGCCAGAAUGAUUCCUGUGACAUUCUGACCCAUAGGCUUGCUGAGUGCUCUGACGAUGGUGACAGGAAAGCUGUAUUGGUUUCCUCCAAGACGCCAUUACCUGCUGAGAGGCUGAACCUGUUCUCCUGACACUAUCCAGACAAUGCAAGGAGAUCCUGGCAUGGUGGGGGGAUGGGUUCCCCCCUUUCUAAGCUCAGACUCAUAAGUAAACAUUGAGCCUUGAUCAGA
rnacentral:lncRNA from 1 species